rnacentral:rRNA from 1 species
CCUACGGGAGGCUGCAGUGAGGAAUAUUGGUCAAUGGACGAGAGUCUGAACCAGCCAAGUAGCGUGAAGGAUGACUGCCCUAUGGGUUGUAAACUUCUUUUAUAUGGGAAUAAAAUGUUCCACGUGUGGGAUUUUGUAUGUACCAUAUGAAUAAGGAUCGGCUAACUCCGUGCCAGCAGCCGCGGUAAUACGGAGGAUCCGAGCGUUAUCCGGAUUUAUUGGGUUUAAAGGGAGCGUAGGUGGAUUGUUAAGUCAGUUGUGAAAGUUUGCGGCUCAACCGUAAAAUUGCAGUUGAAACUGGCAGUCUUGAGUACAGUAGAGGUGGGCGGAAUUCGUGGUGGAGCGGUGAAAUGCUUAGAUAUCACGAAGAACUCCGAUUGCGAAGGCAGUUCACUGGACUGCAACUGACACUGAGGCUCGAAAGUGUGGGUAUCAAACAGGAUUAGAUACCCUAGUAGUC